AGAGUUUGAUCCUGGCUCAGAUUGAACGCUGGCGGCAGGCUUAACACAUGCAAGUCGAACGAUGAAAUCUAGCUUGCUAGAUGGAUUAGUGGCGAACGGGUGAGUAAUGCUUAGGAAUCUGCCUAUUAGUGGGGGAUAACCAUCCGAAAGGAUGGCUAAUACCGCAUACGUCUUACGAGAGAAAGGGGGCUUUUAGCUCUCGCUAAUAGAUGAGCCUAAGUCGGAUUAGCUAGUUGGUGGGGUAAAGGCCUACCAAGGCGACGAUCUGUAGCUGGUCUGAGAGGAUGAUCAGCCACACUGGGACUGAGACACGGCCCAGACUCCUACGGGAGGCAGCAGUGGGGAAUAUUGGACAAUGGGCGAAAGCCUGAUCCAGCCAUGCCGCGUGUGUGAAGAAGGCCUUUUGGUUGUAAAGCACUUUAAGUGGGGAGGAAAAGCUUGUGGUUAAUACCCAUUAGCCCUGACGUUACCCACAGAAUAAGCACCGGCUAACUCUGUGCCAGCAGCCGCGGUAAUACAGAGGGUGCAAGCGUUAAUCGGAAUUACUGGGCGUAAAGCGAGCGUAGGUGGUUACUUAAGUCAGAUGUGAAAGCCCCGGGCUUAACCUGGGAAUUGCAUCUGAUACUGGGUGACUAGAGUAGGUGAGAGGGAAGUAGAAUUCCAGGUGUAGCGGUGAAAUGCGUAGAGAUCUGGAGGAAUACCGAUGGCGAAGGCAGCUUCCUGGCAUCAUACUGACACUGAGGUUCGAAAGCGUGGGUAGCAAACAGGAUUAGAUACCCUGGUAGUCCACGCCGUAAACGAUGUCUACCAGUCGUUGGGUCUCUUGAAGACUUAGUGACGCAGUUAACGCAAUAAGUAGACCGCCUGGGGAGUACGGCCGCAAGGUUAAAACUCAAAGGAAUUGACGG
rnacentral:rRNA from 1 species